ensembl:lncRNA
GGGAGAGCGGCGCGAGGAGCGGGCUGUGCCGCGAGGUGCGCGGCCCCGCACGCAGCCAGCUGCAGCCGCCGACCCCACAGCCGUCCCGGUUCCGGUGAGAGCCCGGCUCUCCCAGGCAGCAUCUGCAGUCCUGGGGACACCACUGCUGAGUCUGACCUUCAAAUCUCUCGAAGGAGGCACAUGGUGCAGAGGAGGGGAUGUGAGAGCUGCUCUGCCCCGGAUGGAUGGACUGUGUGAGGGUGCAUGAGGCAAGCCUUGACUCCAGAGUCUCUUCCCCAAGUGAUGAAGAGCAAACCUCGCUCUGGUUGGUCCCACAGCACUGCUGCUAACCACAGCAGCAGCAGCAGCUCUCCGCACUCCCACCACAUGCAGAACCCAGCACAGCUGGGAUGCUGCUCACCCAGGCAUUGUCCAGAGGGAGCGCCAUUCCCCCGGAGACCGUGGCAUGGAUUUUGUUGCAAAUAACUCAAUAAUGACACUGCAACUCCUUCUUUGCCCAGGACUCGCCUGCACACUGUGGCAGACUCCUGCUCAAGCGUUGGAGGGCCGGAAUCCCUGAUGGAGGUUCCAUGAAUGCCUUUGGGGUGGAGGACCUCAACACCACAGAGCUGUUCUGGAGGAGGAAGAGGAGGAGGAGGAGGAGGAGCUCAGUGCAGGGCCUCACAGCACGGUGCCAUCCAGGGGGGACAGGAGCUGGUCCUCCCCACCCACCCCAGCACUGCGAGCAUCGGGAGGCAUCAGCCUUCGUGCCACUUGUGUAAACUAUUACAGCAAAGGGCAGAGGUUAAACGCAGCACAUGUGUGGCAUCAAUUAACAGGAUUUCAAGGUCUCUGGUGGAGUUUCUGCUCAAAUCUCCUGUGGCAGGUUUGGUUUUCUUAACCCCUCGGAUGCCAUGCGGUUGGCAGCCUCGGCUCUGCGCUGCUCCCUGCUGCUGCGGGGGUCCCCCAGGGCCACGUUGGGAGCAGCCUCAGUCAAUUUAGGCACAAGGGGACAGCACACAGC